UUUCAGAAGUUGUACCUAUGCUUUAUUAACAUUUUUAUAAACACUGCGGGUUUCAUCUACUGUGUCACUCUCUUAUUAGGAACUGAAACAUGGCUAGUGGAGCAAUGAAAUUUUGCAGAACUCUAUUACCUCUUCGUUAUAAUGUCCAAUAUUGUUUGAUACACUCCGCCUCAUCAUCAGAAAUUCUCCAAGAAACCAUUGAAGAUGCAGUGAAAACCAAGAGCUAUGAAAAAAUUCCUGAUGUUCUUACAUCUCACGGACAAGUUCGCCAACACCCAAAUCCGUUCUCAUUUCUUUCUACCUAUCCCCCGGCCAUUAGGGCAAAAUUGAUUGAUGAGAUUCUGCAAUCGUUUGUCCCUGUCAGGCCUCGCUAUAGAUCACAGAUUGCUUUCUCCUGUCUCCUCUCCUACACUCUCCAAAGCCCCAAUCCCCUCCCUAUAUCCCUUGCCAUCCUCCAGCGUACCCUUCGCUCGGGUUGUGUCCCUGCCCCUCAAACCCAUCUCCUUCUCUCUUCUGCAUGGCUGCGACGCCGUCGCCAAUCUCAAUCCGUUGCUGAGAUCUUACUAGAAAUGCAGUCAAUUGGAUAUUCUCCCGACUCGGGUACCUGCAAUUACCUCAUAUUGUCUCUGUGUGCUGUUGACCAGUUGAUGGAGGCAGUUAAAGUCUUGAAAGGAUUGAGUGGGGCUGGCUGUGUUCCUGAUUUGGAAAGUUACAACGCGGUGAUUAGUUCAAUGUGCAAAGUCAGGAGGACUACUGAGGCGGUAGAUAUGAUUAAGCAAAUGGUGGUGAAAGUUGGAUUGGCACCAAGGCAGGGGACUUUGGUGAAAGUGAUGGCGACAUUGCGGGCAAACAGAGAGAUGUGGAGAGCAGUUGAGGUGGUUGAGUUGUUGGAGAGGGAGCGUUGUGCUGUUGGGUUUGAGAUCUACGAAUCGGUGGUUGAAGGUUGCCUGGAGUGUGGUGAGUUUAUUUUGUCGGGGAAGGUGGUAAUUGGGAUGACGGAUAGGGGUUUUAUACCAUAUAUCAAGGUCAGGCAAAAGGUUGUUGAAAGGUUGGCUGGUAUUGGCGAAUGGAAGCUUGCAUGCGCUGUGAGGCAAAGAUUUGCGGAUUUGAAGUCUUAGCUCCUUCUAUUUCUUUUGGAAGUGUAAGGAGGAUUUUGAAAUCCAUAGUUGUGUGCUGCUAAAGCUGGAGACAUUUCUUUGAUUGGAACUUAUGUAACAGACAUACAAGCAGGCAGUGUCUAUCUUCUCAGUUCUUUGAUGUAUCUUAAUUAUGAGCUUCAGUGUCGCCAGAGAGCACAUAGAUGAUGAUGAUGGAGCUCAAGCUGACUAAAUACGAAUGAUCAAAAUUGGUAUUAUAUUGACUCAAAUUAUUCAGCCCUCAAAUAUCCGAAGUUCAUAGUUUUCUAGUCAUUUCCUUCACAUGCUAAGCAGUCAAUCAAAGUAGGGGAAAGUAGAAGUCAGUUCUUGGCCAUCUAUAAUGUAACUAAGCAGAAGUCAGUUCUUAGCCAUCUACAAUGUAACUGUUUAUAGUCAUGCAAGCGCAAUAACCGUUGGUAUUGUUUUUGUUUUCCUUUGUUUCCUGAUACUUGUAUUGGUAUGUCUUUUCAAUGAAAUUUCAUAUUAGCAAAAGGAAGUAGAAGAUUCAAAAGGCAAUGAGACUGGUAGAAUCAAAAGCAAUGAGACUGGUUGGGUUGUUCA